UACGUAGGGUGCAAGCGUUGUCCGGAAUCAUUGGGCGUAAAGCGCGCGUAGGUGGCUUCGUAAGUCCGUUGUGAAAGUCAAAGGCUCAACCUUUGAAUGCCGAUGGAUACUGCGAAGCUAGAGUACGGAAGAGGCGAGUGGAAUUCCUGGUGUAGCGGUGGAAUGCGCAGAUAUCAGGAGGAACACCAAUAGCGAAGGCAGCUCGCUGGGACGUUACUGACACUAUGGCGCGAAAGCGUGGGGAGCGAACAGG
rnacentral:rRNA from 1 species